rnacentral:SRP_RNA from 1 species
GCCGGGCGUGGUGGCGCGCGCCUGUAGUCCCAGCUACUUGGGAGGCUGAGGCUGGAGGAUCGCUUGAGCUCAGGAGUUCUGGGCUGCAGUGCGCUAUGCCGAUCGGGUGUCCGCACUAAGUUCGGCAUCAAUAUGGUGACCUCCCGGGAGCGGGGGACCACCAGGUUGCCUAAGGAGGGGUGAACCGGCCCAGGUCGGAAACGGAGCAGGUCAAAACUCCCGUGCUGAUCAGUAGUGGGAUCGCGCCUGUGAAUAGCCACUGCACUCCAGCCUGGGCAACACAGCGAGACCCUGUCUCUU